CUUCGGUGGGUUGCUUCCAAAGGAGGAUUCUUUGGAGCACUUGAACCUGAAGAAAUGAAAAGCAUGGACAUUAAAGAAAAUCGAUGAUCAUGCAAGACGAUGAGCAAAUUCGGGUUGGUAGUUAGAAGGCUUGUGUUGAAAUACAUAGAAGAAGAAGCGAAACACACCAAGAAGACAUUUCAAAUUACCUGAACUAAAGAAAAGAAACAAGAAAAAUAACGCAGAAUGCCGAAGAGAGCUAACACCCAUCUCUGCUAGAUACUUCUUCUACACCUUG